UUGAGAUAGGUACGAGUUUAUAAAUUAUAGGGUUAAGUAUCAAUUUCACCCCUAACGUGGAGGCCCUUGGAACGUUUAGCACCCUAUGGACAGGGGUGUGUCAACUAAGUCCCUGAAGUACCUAUUUUCCUCCAAUUAAGCCCUCCGACUUAACGGAGAGUUAACACCAUUAACUUUUUUUUUUUUUGGUGGUGGGACCCACACCUUCUUCACCACCAAACUCGCUGGAAACCUAAUCCACCCCUUCACCACCAAUUCCAGUCAAUGCAAUAGCCAAUUUGCA
rnacentral:lncRNA from 1 species